GAGAACUAGUAAGUGCCUGUGACAGGAGUUGUGUAUUAUAUGAGACUUAGGUAAAACAGUUAGAAUAAAAAACAACAAAAAGGUGUAUACAUGCUUCUGCGGCAAUAGCAAAUAGUUUGUAAAUAGGUGUAUGAAAUUAGGUGAUUCCCCUACCAUCAAAUCAGCAAUAUAGUAGAAUAAAAACAAUAGCUAAUGUUUCUUUACAACUGUGAGUACAAGUUUUGAAUUCAC